rnacentral:rRNA from 1 species
UCGUGGUUUGAGUUGGCUGGUUAAUUCCGAUAACGAACGAGAUUUCAUUUCUUAACUAAACCUGUUCUUUACUGUGACUUCGGUUGCAGAGAAGGAUGGACAAAAGGUUUAAUUAGGAAGACGAGAGAGGAAAACUCUUUGGAAGCGUGAAGCCAGAACA